UGCGUGCGUGCGCGUGUGUCAAAUCCGGGGAGGGAUUUCACUGCUGCACCCCCCCUCUCCUCGUCCCACACGAUGCCUUCACUGACAUGAUGAAAAUAAGAAAAACUGAGGACUGUUCAAAAUGUCGUUUGCUGUAUGAGAAUGUGCCUCAAGUUUCCCAGACGACAUGAAGGCACCACAACGGUCCCUUUACUUCAGACUUUAAUAAAUCAAACUCUCGUCCUUCUGGUUCCCGCAGACGUGCACGAGGAGCAUAAACAUCUGCACGUGGGCAAAUCCAUGACGCAAGCACGCAGGGAACGAUGCUGUACGGAAACCCGACUCAGACAAAAGACAGUUGAACAUAAACAAAGGGAGAAAUGUCGCUCUACACCAUGCUAUAAAAAACAACAAAUAUAUCUGUAUUCAUAUCCAUAUUGAGCUUACUCUGGAAAAGACAGUGAUAUGACCACGUACUUGUUUGAAAGAUUAGUGUCAAUAAAAUGUUAAGUAAAUACAAUCCUGUUCAGGAGGUGGGAUUUUAUUUGUUUUUAGUCACAGUCCAAGGAGAAUGAAGCCAAAUAAUAAGGAAAACCCGAGCCAAGUGCAACACCAUUAUUUUAUUUUGUGGACGUGGAUGUCACCAGUGUUGCUCACAUCUUCUUCUGUUAUCUUCACAUGUGAGUCUUUUCAGCUGCUCUGUCCUGGAGGGGCUUUUGUUGCUGUCUGUGUGUUUGGGCUCAUGCUGAUGUUGGAAAAUCCCUCUCCUGCCAAGCCUAUUGAGUCCACGACUCAUCUUCUCAUUCAGCAACUCUUCAUGCCAUCUUGCAUUCUAAGGGAGAUCUAUAAACCCCUCACUCAUGCAGCCCCCACGUCAGUUCCCUCCCCCUCCGUCAUGUUUCACAGUCGGCACACUGGGGUCGCCGGUCGUGGUCAGAUCCAAGCCAAACACACUGGAACCCGUCUGAUCUAGACAAAUUCAUUUCUUGGUUUCCUCUGACCAGAGGAUGUGCUGCCAGUAUCCUGCAGGCCUCUUUUCAUUUCUUUGGUGAAGUUUCAUCUUGCAGUUAUGUGGUGGUCGUGAGCAAUGCUUCUGUCCAAUCUCCUUUAUCUUCCACAGUAUGACCGGUAGCCUCGUGAUGUUCUCGAAUCCUCUUCAGUCUUCGUGAAGUCUCAGUCUGGUUUAUUACAUUAUCCGACCGCUCCAUACCACGUGGAGCCAUGUUGCACUCGUCUCAACCCAGGACAAAACGGAGGAAGCUGUGGCAAUGACAGGUUCUGUUAUAACCUUUAACCUUAACUGGAAGCCACAGGCACAAUCACUUGCAUUGAGGUUGAACUAAUGGUAUAUAUCAUCAAUGUCGAUCU